rnacentral:rRNA from 1 species
GACGAACGCUGGCGGCGUGCCUAAUACAUGCAAGUUGAGCGCUGAAGGUUGGUACUUGUACCAACUGGAUGAGCAGCGCACGGGUGAGUAACGCGUGGGGAAUCUGCCUUUGAGCGGGGGACAACAUUUGGAAACGAAUGCUAAUACCGCAUAAAAACUUUAAACACAAGUUUUAAGUUUGAAAGAUGCAAUUGCAUCACUCAAAGAUGAUCCCGCGUUGUAUUAGCUAGUUGGUGAGGUAAAGGCUCACCAAGGCGAUGAUACAUAGCCGACCUGAGAGGGUGGUCGGCCACACUGGGACUGUGACACGGCCCAAACGCCUACAGGAGGCAGCAGUAGGGAAUCGUCGGCAAUGGACGAAAGUCUGACCGAGAAACGCCGCGGGAGGGAAGAAGGUUGUCGGAUCGUAAAACUCUGUUGGUAGAGAAGAACGUUGGUGAGAGUGGAAAGCUCAUCAAGUGACGGUAACUACCCAGAAAGGGACGGCUAACUACGUG